AUACGAACUGCGCAAACGUUAUUCGGAAUCACUGGGCUUAAAGGGUGCGUAGGCGGCUUGUUAAGUAGGGUGUGAAAUCUCUCGGCUCAACCGGGAAAUUGCGCUCUAAACUGGCUCGCUUGAGUGCGAUAGGGGUGUGCGGAACUUCUGGUGGGGCGGUGAAAUGUGUUGAGAUCAGAAGGAACGCCGGUGGCGAAAGCGGCACACUGGGUCGUAACUGACGCUGAGGCACGAAAGCUAGGGUAGCGAACGGGAUUAGAAACCCCAGUAGUCC
rnacentral:rRNA from 1 species